rnacentral:rRNA from 1 species
GUGGGGAAUAUUGGGCAAUGGGCGAAAGCCUGACCCAGCAACGCCGCGUGAAGGAAGAAGGUUUUCGGAUCGUAAACUUCUAUCCUUGGUGAAGAUAAUGACGGUAGCCAAGAAGGAAGCCCCGGCUAACUACGUGCCAGCAGCCGCGGUAAUACGUAGGGGGCAAGCGUUGUCCGGAAUGAUUGGGCGUAAAGGGCGCGUAGGCGGCCCGGUAAGUCUGAAGUGAAAGUCCUGCUUUUAAGGUGGGAAUUGCUUUGGAUACUGUCGGGCUUGAGUGCAGGAGAGGUAAGCGGAAUUCCCGGUGUAGCGGUGAAAUGCGUAGAGAUCGGGAGGAACACCAGUGGCGAAGGCGGCUUACUGGCCCAAUACUGACGCUGAGGCGCGAAAGCGUGGGGAGCAAACAGGAUUAGAAACCCUAGUAGUCC